rnacentral:rRNA from 1 species
CGACGUAGGUAACCUGCCUUGUAGCGGGGGAGUAACUAUUGGAAACGAUAGCUAAUACCGCAUAACAAUGGAUGACACAUGUCAUUUAUUUGAAAGGGGCAAUUGCUCCACUACAAGAUGGACCUGCGUUGUAUUAGCUAGUAGGUGAGGUAACGGCUCACCUAGGCGACGAUACAUAGCCAACCUGAGAGGGUGAUCGGCCACACUGGGACUGAGACACGGCCCAG